GGAUUAGGCAUGCAAGUCGAGCGAGAAAGCCCGCAAGGGUGAGUACAGCGGCGAAAGGGUGAGUAAUACAUAGGGAACCUACCGCACGGACUGGGAUAAUUCCUGGAAACGGGUUGUAAUACCAGAUGGUCCUCGAGAGCCGCAUGGCUCUAUUAGUAAACGGUAGCUUUGCUUCUGCUCGGAGAGGAGCCUAUGUCCUAUUAGCUUGUUGGUGGGGUAAUGGCCUACCAAGGCAAUGAUGGGUAGCCGGACUGAGAGGUUGGCCGGUCACACCGGGACUGAGACACUGCCCGGACUCCUACGGGAGGCUGCAGUCGAGAAUCUUCCGCAAUGGACGAAAGUCUGACGGGGCGACGCCGCGUGAACGAAGAAGGCCUUCGGGUUGUAAAGUUCUGUCAGGAGGGAAGAAUGGGUAGGGGUUAAUAGCCUUCUAUCUUGACGUUACCUCUAGAGGAAGCCCUGGCUAACUCCGUGCCAGCAGCCGCGGUAAUACGGAGAGGGCAAGCGUUGUUCGGAAUCACUGGGCAUAAAGCGCACGCAGGCGGACCAGUUAGUCAGUUGUGAAAUCCCAGGGCUCAACCCUGGAAUUGCUUCUGAAACUGCUGGUCUAGAGGAUGAGAGGGGAGAGUGGAACUUCAGGUGGAGCGGUGAAAUGCGUAGAUAUCAGAAGGAACACCGGUGGCGAAAGCGACUCUCUGGCUCAUUUCUGACGCUCAGGUGCGAAAGCUAGGGGAGCGAACGGGAUUAGAUACCCCGGUAGUCCUAGCCGUAAACGAUGAGCACUAGGUAGGGGGAGCUCUGACGCUCUCCCUGCUGUAGCUAAUGUGUUAAGUGCUCCGCCUGGGGAGUAUGGUCGCAAGGCUAAAACUCAAAGGAAUUGACGGGGGCUCACACAAGCGGUGGAGCAUGUGGUUUAAUUCGAAGCAACGCGCAGAACCUUACCCAGGUUUGACAUGUAUGGAUUAGCUCUAAGAAACUAGAGUGACGCGGGUAACCGUGGAACUUGCACAGGUGCUGCAUGGCUGUCGUCAGCUCGUGUCGUGAGAUGUCGGGUUAAGUCCCUUAACGAGCGAAACCCUUACCUCUAGUUGCCAGCGGAUAAUGCCGGGCACUCUAGCGGGACUGCCGUGGUUAACACGGAGGAAGGCGGGGAUGACGUCAAGUCCUCAUGGCCCUUAUACCCAGGGCUACACACGUGCUACAAUGGCUGAGACAGAGGGAAGCAAGACGGUAACGUGGAGCAAAUCCCACAAACUCGGUCCCAGUACGGAUUGAGGGCUGCAAUUUGCCCUCAUGAAGUUGGAAUCGCUAGUAAUCGCGGAUCAGCAACGCCGCGGUGAAUAUGUUCCUGAGCCUUGUACACACCGCCCGU
rnacentral:rRNA from 1 species